GCAACACUGACAGUUUUAAGUUGUGGCGUGAUCAAAAGUCACAGCUGUGGUUAGGGAUAUUUAUACGUUGGGUAUUAGUAGGAUGGAAGUGAUGAAGGGAGAGAGGCCAAUUAGGCCAUGAUUGCUCUGAGGAUGGGAAGUACGUGAAUGUGGAAUCUUGGGGCAAUAGAACGGACAGAACGUAGUGUAGCAAAGCUUCUCUCCAUAACGUUCCUCUGGCCAAGUGAGAAACAUGAAGAUUAGAAGUGCAGCACAUGCCUUCUGAAGAAGCCAGGCAUGGAACAGUUCUGGGAACACAGCACUGAUAAAACUCUUAGGGAUGAAUUUACCUAUACCUGUGUUUCAGCCUUGUGAUCUGAUUCCACAGGAUGCGAGCAUAUGCAGUGGAAACAUUGUGUUAUUCCAUCCUCAGAAGAAAAGAGACAGUAUUAUACUUCGUCUCUUGCUAGUACAGAACUACCACAGAAACAUACCAGGAAAGCUGAGAGAAUCCACAGAUCCUUUGAAGGAAGUGGCUUGCUGUUGCAGGCUCCUUGAGACAGCCAAAAACUGAGACUGGCUUCAUUGAUUAUAAAAUGAUCUACAGGAGCCUCUGUUCUUGAAAGGAAGGGGAGAAGAGAGGAGAGAGAAGGAAGGGGAGAGAAGAGAGGAAGGGAGGAACUGGACAAGAGCUGUUUGAAGGAGUCCAGGACCUCCAGUACAAUUUUCAGGAGAAGUGGCAAGAAUGGACAUCCACCUCCCACCAUGUGAUGACAUGGUAAGAAGGCCCUUGCCAGAUGCUGGCACAUUGAUACCAAACUUCCCAACCUCCAGAACUGUGAGCCAAUAUAUUUCUAGUCAUUAUAAAUUACCUAGUCUGCAGUUUUGUUAUAGCAGCACAGAACAAAGAAAUACAGAUCCUCCCUGACUUAAUGUUGAGGUUAUGUUCUAAUAAACUCAUUUUAACUUGAAAAUAUUUUAAGUUCAAAAUGCAUUUAAUAGAUCUAAACUACAGAACAUCAUAGCUUAGCCUAUCUUAAACAUGCUCAGAACACUUACAUUAGCCUACAGUUGGGCAAAAUCAUCUAACAUCAAGCCUAUUUUCUAAUAAAUCUUAAAUAAUUUUUAAAUAUUUCGUGUAAUUUAUUGAAUACUGUACUGAAAGUGAAAAACAGAAUGGUUGUGUAGGUUCUCACCAUUAAUUUACAGAGUUGAAAGUCCACUGGACUUGAAGCUUGAGACAUUAAACUAAAAUCUAUUGCUGGGUGAUAAGGAUGCUACAACAACUGGGUUAUCAAUUUCUUUCUCUUCUGAUGAAACUUCAGAAUAGUUGGUAGAAGGCACUGAGACACUGACAUAUUGAUUUAGCAGGCAUAGUGUUCUUCAGAAAGACAUCGAGUAUUGGUUAUUUAUCCUCAUGUUACAUAUUUUACAUCAUUUGUUACUUCUCCCAUAUUUCUGAUUAUUUUAAAAAUUUUUGUCAAAAAGAAAUGAUCAUCAGAUUUGAGAAGAUCUAUCUGCCCUUAAGUUCACUAACAUUUACCAUCUAUACUUUGUUAAGAUCAUACUGUAAACAUUUUUAUUCAUUUAUUAUACUUUUCAGUUCUAGCAUUUUCAAUUUUUGUUUUUUCACAGUUAACAUUUCUCUUUUGAAAUUUCCUCUCUGUUGACUCAUUAAAACCAUUUUUUUCCAUAUUUGGCCUGGUUUGGUUUUUCUGUUGCUCUGACAUUGUGGAGAAAUUGUUCCCAGGAAGAUAAUGUCAUCUCUGAAUAACGAUAUAUAGUCAAUUUUCAUGCUGCUGAUAAAGACACACCUGAAACUGGGUAAUCUAUCAAGAAAAAGAGGUUUAAUGGACUCACAGUUCCACAUGGCUGGGGCUGCCUCACAGUCAUGGCAGAAGGCAAUAGGCAAGUCUUACGUGGCGGCAGACAAGAGAAAAUGAGACCCAAGCGAAAGGGGAAACCCAUAAUAAAACCAUCAGAUCUUGUGAGACUUAAUUACUACCAUGAGAACAGUAUGGGAGAAACCACCCCCAUAAUUCGAUUAUCUCCCACCAGGUCUCUCCUACAACAUGUGGGAAUUUUGC
rnacentral:lncRNA from 1 species